AAAUAUACAAAACAAUACGUACAACUUGGUUGGAUACAAAUCAGUAUCUGACUGCCGACUCAUCCAUAUGUCGUUCUGAAGCUUGGAAAUGGUAUGCAAGUAAACCAUCUCAAUGGAUGAUUAUUUGGCGGCAACAUUGGAUGACAAACUAAAUUGAUUGAGUUCCAAGCUGAAUAUCUAUGCAACCAGGAAUAUCGAAGCCAAACAAGAUUGCUUGAAAAGAAAGAAUUAAAGUAGUAUAAAGAGGAUUAUCUUUCGUCGUUAAUAAAAGAAAAAACAGCGGAUUAUAUGCCAUUUUCUUUUACAUUUGAUAAGAAAUUUCAAAUCACGCAUAUAUACACCCACAAAGACACAUAUUCCUCACCUUAACUACCCGCUUAUGUCAAUAAGCACACACACUCAUAUAUAAACGUAUAUACACACAACCACACAUAUGUGUUUCUGUGUGUUCCUAUAUUUUUCUCAUCUAAAUACCGUCUGUGAUAUAUGAAAAUACCACGUCUUGUGAUUUCGUAAAUUUUGCCCUUGUCACCACAACGUAAGCAUAGUGCAAUAUGAAUUAUAUCGAAUUCAUUCCAGCUUUUCCUGUUACACUUGUUUCAUCCAGCCGAAGUUAAUUAACUUCAAUAAGCAUUGCAAUAAGAAUACCAAUCAAUUAUAUGAUACGUUGAUAAUAAUUAACAUCUAACAGCAGUUCAGUUUACGUUUUAGUGUUUGCGCAUUAGUCAACAAGCAGUAAACCUGGAUGAGUUCUGUCUUUUUAACUUUUCUCGUUUCUUUCUGGUCAGAGAUGACCUAUAGCAAAUGACUUGCUUCUAUAAUUAUUACUAUCACCGCUAAGAAACACUAUUUUCCUUUGUCGUUCCUCCUCCUCCUCCUCCUACUACUACUACUAUCAUUAUUAUUAUUGUUAUUAUUAUCAUUAUCUUCAGCAACGAACUUGCAUAUAUUUGCUCUUGCUUUGCCCAGAAUAUUUCUUACGGAUAAAGAUAUAUAUAAAUAUAUUUAUAUUACCUUUGGAGGAAUUAAUUAAAAUUAAAAAAAGGCAUUACCGAAUAUCCUCUUCAAAACACGAGAAGAAAAUGAAAUGUAUUGAAAACUCAAUUACCGAAAAACAAAAAGAAUUAUCCAAGUACUAAUAUAUAUAAGUAUAUAUAUAUAUAUAUAUAUAUAUAUAUAUAUAUAUAUAUAUAUAUAUAUGAAUAUAUAUGUAUACUGUUAUACAUAUCACCAAGGCGUAAUAAACAAUAAGUUGAACCAAUUGAACCCUAACUAUUAUUAUAACCUGCAAUUCUUUUUACGAUGAUAAUAAUGUGCAAUAAUCGAACCAGUAUUUAUUCAUAGUUCAUAAAUCAUUUUGUCACGAAAUACCUAUGUAUGAUAUAGGAAAUGCAUACUAUUUAACAACGAACACAAAAGAACCCCUGCUUCUAAUUUUUGCAUCGGACCAGAAAUUUGUUUUAAAAAUAAACGUGGAUAUUUUGAAUUUAAUCCAAACUGAAAUUUCACUCAAACAUUUUAUUUCAUCGAGGCACGUGAAAUUUUCCGACUGAACCAAUUAAUGUGAAAAUAAGCAAAAGUAUAACUGUUGUGUUAUAUACUCCUAUAUUUUUUCAUGGAAGAAGCUAGCUGCUCGACACCGUCUACUGAAAAGUGUAAAUAUUUUAAUUUCCUCUUGAAUGUACUUCUUUGAAACUACCAAACAAUUGUGGAUUUCUCAAACUAAAAUUGAGUGAAAUAUUUUUUAUGUAGCUUCAAGAUAAGAACGAAAACUUGAGAAGUUAUUUUUGGAAAGUAUGCGCAAGAAACAUAUACAUAUCUCUCCAUUCUCACCAAAUUUAUCUUCACCAUCGUUGUUAUUAAUAUUUUUGCUAACAAUGACAAUAAUUCUAUUAUUAAUAGUAUUAAUACGACUAUAAGUGAAAUUUAUAAUAUAUUUAUUAACACGAAUUAUGUACAAAAGAAAAGAUUAAUACCUUCAAAGACACAUAUGUAUAAAAAUAUAAUUCUCCUAGUCUAGUGUUCCAUUUUUAUUAAAAACCAUUUCCCCCCCUCAGACUUGAAUUAUUUAUAAAGCAAAAAUAAUAAUAAUAAUAAUAAUAAUAAUAAUAAUAAUAAUAAUAAUAAUAAUAAUAAUAAUUUCUGUUACUAUCAACAGAAGUGUUACAUUAAAAGUAUAUCAAAGAAACUAUUCUGGAAUUUUCCACUACUCUGCACACGGAAAUUUAUAAGAAUUCUUUGAAAGAAAUUGACCAAGUU